AGAAUCAACGCUGGCGGCGUGCCUAACACAUGCAAGUCGAACGAGAAAGCGGGGGCAACUCCGUGAGUAAAGUGGCGUACGGGUGAGUAACACGUAGCUAACCUACCCUCGAGUGAGGAAUAACCUGGGGAAACUCGGGCUAAUACCCCAUAACAUCCGGGCUGUGCAAGCAGUCUGGAGCAAAGGCCCGCAAGGGCCGCUUGAGGAGGGGCUGCGGCCGAUUAGCUAGUUGGUGAGGUAACGGCCCACCAAGGCGAUGAUCGGUA
rnacentral:rRNA from 1 species